UCUACGGAGUAUGUUUCGGGCAGGCCAAUGCUUUCAUAUCAAAAUUAAAAUAGCACAAGGAGAAGUUAUUCGUUUCAUUUGAUAGGUUCUCAAAGCAUGUUAUGAUUAGCCAUUGCUGCUUUUGGUCGUCCUCUGAUAUUCUUCCUUCCUGUAACUCGAAUGUACCUUAUCUUUCAUUUAUCCUAGUUUGCUGAAACCAUCUCAGUUGUCCCACUUUAGUAAAUGCAUGUAAUCGUUUCACGAUCAGUUCUUUUUGUAUUUUCAUUUUUCCAUUUUCGCAUUCCUUUCUAGCUUUUUGAGAAACAAGGAAUUAAAAGAAACAAGAAGA
rnacentral:misc_RNA from 1 species